rnacentral:rRNA from 1 species
GGGCCCGCACAAGCGGUGGAGCAUGUGGUUUAAUUCGAUGCAACGCGAAGAACCUUACCAGGUCUUGACAUCUGUAGAACCCAUACGAAAGUAAGGGGUGCCUUCGGGAGCUACAAGACAGGUGGUGCAUGGUUGUCGUCAGCUCGUGUCGUGAGAUGUUGGGUUAAGUCCCGCAACGAGCGCAACCCUUGCUAUUAGUUGCUAACAGUUAAAGCUGAGCACUCUAAUGGGACUGCCCGUGACAAGCGGGAGGAAGGUGGGGAUGACGUCAAAUCAUCAUGCCCUUUAUGAUCUGGGCUACACACGUGCUACAAUGGAUGGUACAGAGAGCAGCGAGACCGCGAGGUGGAGCGAAUCUCAAAAAGCCAUUCUCAGUUCGGAUUGCAGUCUGCAACUCGACUGCAUGAAGUCGGAAUCGCUAGUAAUCGCGAAUCAGCACGUCGCGGUGAAUGCGUUCCCGGGCCUU